rnacentral:rRNA from 1 species
GUUUGAUCAUGGCUCAGAACGAACGCUGGCGGCAGGCCUAACACAUGCAAGUCGAAGGAGAAGCCAUCUUCGGAUGGUGGAAACUGGCGCACGGGUGAGUAACGCGUGGGUAUCUACCUCGAGGGUGGGGAAUAACCGCUGGAAACGGACGGCUAAUACCGCAUACGCCUUAAGAGGGAAAGCUCCGGCGCCCUGAGAGGAGCCCGCGUUGGAUUAGCUUGUUAGGUGGGGUAAUGGCCUACCAAGGCUACGAUCUAUAGCUGGUCUGAGAGGAUGAUCAGCCACACUGGGACUGAGACACGGCCCAGACUCCUACGGCGAGGCAUGCAGUGGGGAAUAUUCGGACAAAUGGGCGCAAGACCUGAUCCAGCCAUGCCGCGUGAGUGAAGAAGAGCCUUAGAGGUUGUAAAGCUCUUACACACUGACGAAGAUGAUGACGGUACAGCAGGAGAAGGAAGCCCCGGCUAACUCACGUGACCAGCAGCC